rnacentral:rRNA from 1 species
GAUGAACGCUGGCGGCGUGCCUAAUACAUGCGAGUCGAGCGAACAGACGAGGAGCUUGCUCCUCUGACGUUAGCGGCGGACGGGUGAGUAACACGUGGAUAACCUACCUAUAAGACUGGGAUAACUUCGGGAAACCGGAGCUAAUACCGGAUAAUAUAUUGAACCGCAUGGUUCAAUAGUGAAAUACGGUUUUUCUGUCACUUAUAGAUGGAUCCGCGCCGCAUUAGCUAGUUGGUAAGGUAACGGCUUACCAAGGCAACGAUGCGUAGCCGACCUGAGAGGGUGAUCGGCCACACUGGAACUGAGACACGGUCCAGACUCCUACGGGAGGCAGCAGUAGGGAAUCUUCCGCAAUGGGCGAAAGCCUGACGGAGCAACGCCGCGUGAGUGAUGAAGGUCUGCGGAUCGUAAAACUCUGUUAUUAGGGAAGAACAAAUGUGUAAGUAACUAUGCACGUCUUGACGGUACCUAAUCAGAAAGCCACGGCUAACUACGUG